rnacentral:rRNA from 1 species
UACGUAGGGAACGAGCGUUAUCCGGAUUUAUUGGGUGUAAAGGGUGCGUAGACGGGCGAUCAAGUUAGUUGUGAAAUCCCUCGGCUCAACUGAGGAACUGCAACUAAAACUGGUAGUCUUGAGUGCAGGAGAGGUAAGUGGAAUUCCUAGUGUAGCGGUGAAAUGCGUAGAUAUUAGGAGGAACACCAGUGGCGAAGGCGACUUACUGGACUGUAACUGACGUUGAGGCACGAAAGUGUGGGGAGCAAACAGG